rnacentral:misc_RNA from 1 species
GAUGAAGAACGUAGCGAAAUGCGAUAAGUAAUGUGAAUUGCAGAAUUCAGUGAAUCAUCGAAUCUUUGAACGCACCUUGCGCUCCCUGGUAUUCCGAGGAGCAUGCCUGUUUGAGUGUCAUGAAAUUCUCAACCUUUUCAGCUUUCUUUGUUGAUCAGGCUUGGAUGUGGGAGUAUGCGGGCUUCUCAGAAGUCGGCUCUCCUGAAAUGCAUUAGCGGGACCUUUGUUGCCUGGCUUUGGUGUGAUAAUUAUCUACGCCAUUGUAGUCAAGCAGCUUAAAAUGAGGUUUCAGCUUCUAACCGUCUCCCCUGAGACAACUUUUUGACAAUUUGACCUCAAAUCAGGUAGGACUACCCGCUGAACUUAAGCAUAUCAAUAAGCGGAGGA